ensembl:lncRNA
CAGAAAAUUAGCAAACAUGAAUAAAUGGCGAAAACAAUAUAAUUAUAACAUAUAUUUUUAUUUUACUUAUUUUAGGUCUGUGAUGCCAAACUUGAUGCUGGGGAUUUAUUUUUGUCAGUGGAGUCAAAUGGUCUAGAUGAUCACAUCUGUCUUUGUCAUUUAAAUGAGGUGGACUUGCAAACUUUGCGCUCUUUUGGGUUGAAGCAGAAUUUGCCUGUCUUACAUCUGUUGACCUGAAAGGGUUCCUUUUUGCUGUGCUUGACCAUUAUGGAGAGGUUCGUGGAGCUGUUCAAAAUCAAGAGCGGCAUAGGAGGGCUAACCAGGCUCAUAAGAUGCUUCGGUGAUGAUAGCCCUACACAAAGGAAGAGGACAGAGGACCUCAUUUUCUAAAGGAAGAUCCCUCACACACUUUCAAGACUGUGAAGCCGACAGGUAUUGAAGACACGUUUUCUAAGAGGAUGAAAGUUGGCAUUGCGAUGGUGAAAGAAGAAGACAUCAUCGAUGUGUUGGUUGUCCUUGAGGCGGCAGUAAUCCUGUCUAAUCUGAGGAAUGUCUCAAGUGCCAUUUCCAUGCUGAUGGGCCUUCUUUUGCCCUCAACAUAGACUAUCCAAAGGAACUUAAGGACAUCUUUGAAGUCAUUCAGAACAUCCUAAUGAACAUUGGUGGAAGGCAGUGCAUCUCACUAGUGCAUGGUCUAAGAAACAGACUCUUGCAGAAAGCCAUGCAGAACUGUAAUUGUAUGCUCACAGCAUACAAUUGCCUUAGUGUUAAGGACAGUUUUUAUUUUACUGUUUGUUUUUUUAUUCUUGCAAGUUCUCAUUCUCACUUUUGUAUGUCACUAAAUGACUACACUUUACAUUCCAGAUUAGACAAUUUGUUCAUGGUUUAAGAAGCUUAUGUGAACAACAAUAUAAUGGUGGACUUUGCAGAUGCUUAUCUCAUGCAAGUCAGUAGUUUUUCCUUUGUUUUGCAAUUGAGCAGACUCAAACUGAUGUUUCUGAAAUAUCCAUCUUAUCAAAUGUUUCAGAAGCAUGCACUCAUUUUCAGAGAUAUUGGUUCUGUGGAAUUUGUUGCAAUUGUAAACGAAGACACAUACAAGAGUUUGAUGUCUUAGUUGUUAUAAACUGAUCUUUACUGUCACUUAUCAAAAGUUUUGUACUAUUUUAAUAUUUCAAGUUUUAUGCUAACAGGUGUGACUGAGCACAAUGAAGUUUAAAAAUUUUGCAAAUGUAAAGAAUAACUUUUCUA